rnacentral:rRNA from 1 species
AUGACGGCCUUCGGGUUGUAAACCUCUUUUAGCAGGGAAGAAGCGAAAGUGACGGUACCUGCAGAAAAAGCGCCGGCUAACUACGUGCCAGCAGCCGCGGUAAUACGUAGGGCGCAAGCGUUAUCCGGAAUUAUUGGGCGUAAAGAGCUCGUAGGCGGUUUGUCGCGUCUGCUGUGAAAUCCCGAGGCUCAACCUCGGGCCUGCAGUGGGUACGGGCAGACUAGAGUGCGGUAGGGGAGAUUGGAAUUCCUGGUGUAGCGGUGGAAUGCGCAGAUAUCAGGAGGAACACCGAUGGCGAAGGCAGAUCUCUGGGCCGUAACUGACGCUGAGGAGCGAAAGGGUGGGGAGCAAACAGGCUUAGAUACCCUGGUAGUCCACCCCGUAAACGUUGGGAACUAGUUGUGGGGACCAUUCCACGGUUUCCGUGACGCAGCUAACGCAUUAAGUUCCCCGCCUGGGGAGUACGGCCGCAAGGCUAAAACUCAAAGGAAUUGACGGGGACCCGCACAAGCGGCGGAGCAUGCGGAUUAAUUCGAUGC